rnacentral:rRNA from 1 species
AACGAACGCUGGCGGCAUGCCUAACACAUGCAAGUCGAACGAGACCUUCGGGUCUAGUGGCGCACGGGUGCGUAACGCGUGGGAACCUGCCCUUAGGUUCGGAAUAACUCCCCGAAAGGGGUGCUAAUACCGGAUAAUGUCUUCGGACCAAAGAUUUAUCGCCUUUGGAUGGGCCCGCGUUGGAUUAGCUAGUUGGUAGGGUAAAAGCCUACCAAGGCGACGAUCCAUAGCUGGUCUGAGAGGAUGAUCAGCCACACUGGGACUGAGACACGGCCCAGACUCCUACGGGAGGCAGCAGUGGGGAAUAUUGGACAAUGGGCGAAAGCCUGAUCCAGCAAUGCCGCGUGAGUGAUGAAGGCCUUAGGGUUGCAAAGCUCUUUUACCCGGGAUGAUAAUGACAGUACCGGGAGAAUAAGCUCCGGCUAACUCCGCG